GAUUAACGCUAGCGGCAGGCAUAAUACAUGCAAGUUGAACGAGAUAAGUUGUAGCAAUACGGCUUUGAAAGUGGCGCACGGGUGCGUAACACGUAUGCAACCUACCUUUUACUGGGGAAUAGCCUCUCGAAAGAGAGAUUAAUACCCCAUGAUAUGUUCCGAAGGCAUCUUUGGGAUCUUAAAGCUGAGGCGGUAAAAGAUGGGCAUGCGGUUGAUUAGCUAGUUGGUGAGGGAAUGGCUCACCAAGGCUUCGAUCAAUAGGGGGUCUGAGAGGAUGUCCCCCCACACUGGUACUGAGACACGGACCAGACUCCUACGGGAGGCAGCAGUAGGGAAUAUUGGACAAUGGGCGCAAGCCUGAUCCAGCCAUGCCGCGUGCAGGAUGAAGGCCCUAUGGGUCGUAAACUUCUUUUAUAUGGGACGAAAACUCUUAUUCUUAGGAGACUGACGGUACCAUAGGAAUAAGCACCGGCUAACUCCGUGCCAGCCGCCGCAGUAA
rnacentral:rRNA from 1 species